ACUUCAGUGUGGAGAUAACAUGUUUAGUUCAGUGCAAUUUGAAUUAUCAGUUUACUUGUACAGUUGGUAAGUGUUUUUAAAACAUGAGUGACAUAUCAAUGGCCUUGACCUUGACCUCAACAUGACAUAGGUCAACCGAAUGUCCUAUAUAUGAUAUAGUCAUAGACUUUGAGGUAAAUGAGUUAUUCCCAAAUAAACUGCGGAGGCGGGUAAAUCAUAACAAAAGCCAUAAGCAGCCCCGCAUUGCCUUCCGACCUUGCGUUGUAUGGUCGGAAGCUCUGUCCACUGGACCAAGGAGGCGGUCACACGGGGAAAAGAAGGGUAUGAUGUUACAACGAUUUGAAUGAAAUGCACAUGAUGAAUAGUAGGUUUGAUUUACAUAUCAUGCAGUGCAACUUUUUCCUCAUAUGAGUGAGUCAGCGUAUAUCUGAUACCAGGAAAAUAAAUAGUUAGGAAUCUAUAUUUCUUUUUUUGAAGCGAAAGGAUAUAAUUGAUCUGUGCAAAUGCAGCGCAUUAAAACGCUUUGUCUUCUGUGCACGAGUCAUUCAAUGUACACACAGGGUCGGACAGACAUUUUACCUGUUAGUAGUGACAAGAAACCUGUGUUCAUUUUCAUAGCGAAAUAGUGUAAACAUUCUGCCCGAUAGAACCCUCAUUUUGAUUGGCAUGUUCUUGCCUUUUAUUCCCAAAGUAACAUGUAAAUCAUAAAAAUGCAAGCCUAUUGUCUUUGGAAAACACGAAAAAGUGGACAAGCGGUUAACAUUAUAUAUUUGUCUACACUGUAUUGCGUAAAAGCUCGUGAACGAAUAACUAAAUAAUAAAUCAAUAUAAUAAGAUUUAUGAUCAUACACAAAUUCGCUGGCUUUGUAAUAAAAUGUGCUAAAAUGUUGCCUUGAAGUAAAAGAUAUGCAUCAAAGCAAACAAAGCAAACCGACCAUCUCACCAAGUAACACAUUGUCCAAAAGUUAACAAUUUUCCUCAUUACUUCCUCCAUGGUGACCACGUAUCAUGGUGUUAUGUGUUGUUUUGUAAACUGUGUCUGCUUUGUGAGUCGAUGAUUAUCGUGAUAUAAACAUUGGUAUUGCCUCAACACGUUUCUGUCGUUUCAAUGAAACGUUGACAAACGUAAUCACAACACCAUUACAUUAAGGACAUAUAACCAGCAUUAUCAUUUAGGGGUAAAGUAUUAACAGUAUCGCUUGAUGUAAAUCUACCUCAGUGAGGCGUGGUGUUCAAGGAAGAAGCAGGACUGAUUGACUACCUGCAACAACGAUGGAGUUCACUGGAAGAACGAAUAGUCUCGGAUUACACAUCCUCCUUGGUAUAAUUUUGUCUAAUGUUUUCCAAGGUGCAGCAGAGCUUGUGUGUCCAGAGAUAGGAUUCUUGGACUCGCCAGCAAACCUGAGCUGCAUUGGCACAGGACGCACACACUCCUACAUCCAGCCAUCAGGUGGCCCUGUGACCACAUGUGACAUGAACACAUCAAGAUGUCUACCUGACGCGAUGGUGACCAUACCUAACUCUUCCUACAGUGUCCUCACACUACCAAGGGUAAACCAGUCACACGCAGGACGCUGGGCUUGCUCCAUUGGGGAUUAUGAGUCACACUGUCUCAUGACAG